AAGAAUCUCCCACUAUGUCUCAUUAAAUCUCCCAUUGCCACUCUGUCAAUGGGAUCUCUUCUUAUAAAUUGAAACGAAGUCUCCCGUUUUUCUCAUCAAUGGCUCCACCACAUUUCAGAUUAGUUUAUUGUUUACCAUGUCACUGUUCGUAGAAUGGUUUACGGUUGUAAGUAGAAGAUUUGCAGGAUCCAUGUAUAUCUAAACAAAGAAGGAGAUUCUUAGCUCGAGAUUAUCUUUAACCCUGAUAUAAGAAGUGGGAUCGAAGCUGCCGAAAACACAGGUGAGAUUCAAAGGAUCGUGAGGCACAUAUUGAAGCUUCACUGAGAAUAUAUUUUAGUCUUAUCCUACUUCAAAGUAAUUUUUAUUCUGUGUGACUUGCUACAUAUAACUGAUCGUGUAGAGAUUGAGAAAAAUGGUUAUGAAAGUGCUCUUUGAAUUCUCAAAGCAGCUUGAGCA